CAUUUUGACAACUCAGGUGUGUAGUAGUUAGACUAUAUGUUCUAUUCUGAAAGUGACCUUGAAUCUUCAGUGUAUAGCAAGAAUCAGCCUCAAAUACCUUUAGAAGCUGAUAGUACUAAAGGACACAGCUAGGACAGGUUACACAGGCUGACCCAGGGAUGUCCCACGCCACAUGAGGCUCUGUUCAGCAAUAAAAGGGGGAGGAAAGAAGGAGGAACUGGAGGGUCAUUUGGUAUGAUUGAGUUUGUCUUCCCAAGUAACCACUACUGAACCCUGCUUUCCUGGAAACCUUUGAGCAUCUGCUUGCUGAUGGGAAGUGAAAUAAUUCCUUUACUUCGUUUUGCUUGCACACACAGCUUUCACUUUACUUAGUAAACUGUUUUUAUCUCAGUCCACAAGUUAAUAAACUUCUACCUUUCCAAUUCUUCAUCCCACUAAGGGGAAGUAAUCAAGUACCUGUGUGGGGGCUCCAUCGCCUACCAGGAUUAAACCACUGCAUGAGGUCAAGUCAUUAAUCAAUAAUUUAAAUUGGAGAAAAAAUAGACAAAACUACUGACUAAUGAACUCUCCCUCUUUGUAUUAUCUUUGCUGUCAUUUAAAUAUGUAUGUAUCUGUAAAUCUAGAUGAAAACUUUGAUGAAGAUCUUUUCAGAUCUACUGGCUCCUGAUAAAUGAUUAUGUACUCUUUCCUGAUUAGUGUCUUUUAUCUUCAAAUAAAUCUUAAACCCUAAUGCACACACAGGUCUACUCAUUCCUGAUCUAAUCCUAAUUAAUAAGUUAUUAACCUUAACUUUUGUCACACUUCUGUUUCCCAAAACCACAUUAUUCUUGUUAGUGGCAGGAUUGUCCAGUUAUUGUGCUUUAAAUCAAAAUUACUUUAAAACUUUUGGACAUAUUUAGAAAAAUUAUUUUCUGGAUUCACUAAAUUUUUGAAGUAUUUUGCUCUAAAUAGUGGGCUUUUUUGUAAAGAAGGGCAAACUUGUAUCUCUUCACACUAAACUAACUAGGAUAUGUUAAGAAAAAUAGCAUGGAUCUGCCAUUCCUUUGUAUGAUGUAAGCUCUUAUCCAUUCAUUUCUUAUUGCUAACUAAUCUUUUAUUGUAUUUUUUGAAAGAAGCAUAUGUGUAAAUCAUUCACCAGAGAUUAUCAUACAAAUAACUUGAGAUCCUUGCCAUCUUUGAAUCAAAUCAUGGUUUGGUAGCAUCAGACAUGUGGGUAACAUUGGGCUCUGUAUGUGUUCCCAAGUACUAUAGUCAUUCUGUUUAUGAAGAAUCAUGUACUAAUAAAUGUGUUUUUAAUACAAAAUUCUCAAAACUGCCCUUUGAUACUCGAUAUAUUAGCAGAGGAAGAACAGGACUAUAAUCAGCAUAUUUUAUUCACUGUUUUUGUUGUUGUUAUUUCUGGCAGGCUUUCAGUAAUGAGAAAAAUAUUAUAGAUUGAAGAUACAUACAGGCAUUUGCCAUUCACUUUAUUGUAAUUAUUACAUUAUUAUUAGGCAAUGCCUUUAUCACUGUAUGGAAAUCAUGCUGAAUACUAACACAACCCUUGGUUAUUGCAUGCUACACUGAAUAUCUCCUUCAUCUGUCUAUAAUUACUAUAUAUAUUUGGAC